GAUGAAGAAACGUAGCGAAAUGCGAUAAGUAGUGUGAAUUGCAGAAUUCCGUGAAUCAUCGAAUCUUUGAACGCACAUUGCGCCUUCUGGUAUUCCGGAAGGCAUGCCUGUUCGAGAGUCAUUAACAACCGUUUCGAUCCCUUUCUUUCAGAAAUUACAAAGAGGAAAAGGGUUUGGUUAUGGUGGAGGAGGGAAAGGGAGCGUUUAGCCUGUAAAAAAAGAGGCUGUGUUCCGCCUCCCCCCCAAAAUUGUACAGGCGGUCGUGUGCGCCCACGCAUCGAGGUGUUGUAAAAGCUGCCACGGCACUUUUCACCUGUGCAGUGCGAGAUUGGCCAGCCGGUUUAAAAACCCCUCCAAACAAUCAAAGGUUGACCUCGGAUCAGGUAGGGAUACCCGCUGAACUUAAGCAUAUCAAUAAGCGGAGGA
rnacentral:misc_RNA from 1 species